AAACCAACAGGGAUUGCCUCAGUAACGGCGAGUGAAGCGGCAAAAGCUCAAAUUUGAAAUCUAGCACCCUCGGUGUUCGAGUUGUAAUUUGAAGAUGGUAACCUUGGGUUUGGCUCUUGUCUAUGUUCCUUGGAACAGGACGUCAUAGAGGGUGAGAAUCCCGUCUGAUGAGAUGCCCAUUCCUAUGUAAGGUGCUAUCGAAGAGUCGAGUUGUUUGGGAAUGCAGCUCUAAGUGGGUGGUAAAUUCCAUCUAAAGCUAAAUAUUGGCGAGAGACCGAUAGCGAACAAGUACAGUGAUGGAAAGAUGAAAAGAACUUUGAAAAGAGAGUGAAAAAGUACGUGAAAUUGUUGAAAGGGAAGGGCAUUAGAUCAGACUUGGUGUUUUACGAUUAUCUUCUCUUCUUGAGUUGUGCACUCGUAUUUCACUGGGCCAGCAUCGAUUCGGAUGGCAAGAUAAUGGCAGUUGAAUGUGGCUUCACUUCGGUGGAGUGUUAUAGCUUCUGCUGAUAUUGCCUGUCUGGAUCGAGGGCUGCGUCUUUUGACUAGGAUGCUGGCGUAAUGAUCUAAUGCCGC
rnacentral:rRNA from 1 species